UUUUUUUUUUUUUCCUGAGACAGUCUCGCUCUGUUGCCCAGGCUGGAGUGCAGUGGCUGGGUCUUGGCUCGCUGCAGUCUCUGUCUCCUGGGCUCAAGUGAUUCUCCUGCCUCAGCCUCCUGAGUAGCUGGGAUUGCAGGCACAUGCCACCAUGCGCGGCUAAUUUUUAUAUUUCUUGGUAGAGAUGGGAUUUUAGAAUGUUGGUCAGGCUGUUCUCGAACUCCUGACCUCGUGAUCUGCCUGCCUUGGUCUCCCAAAGUGCUGGAAUUACAGGCGUGAACCACUGUGCCCGGCCUGACUGUGCUUCUGUAGUGUUACUAUCACAUAUGAAAAUAAGUUCUAUCAGAAAAGGUUUAUCCUUCACAGUGUUAAUCACAUCAACAUUUAGCAAUGCUGGGACUGAGUUAUUUUCUACUGUAUAGGAUGAUGGAUUAUUCUCCUUCCAUCUCUAGGACCUAGCACAGAACUCUGUUUUAACUUAGGUUUUUUUUUUUGUUUGAGAGGGACUCUCACUCUGUCACCCAGGCUGGAGUGCAGUGGCACAAUCUCAACUAACUGCCACCUAGGUUCAAACAAUUCUCAUGCCUCAGCCUCCCAAGUAGCUGGGAUUACAGACGUGUGACCAGGCCUGGUUGAUUUUUUGUAUUUUUAGUAGAGACAGGAUUUUGCUAUGUAGGUCAGGCUGGUCUUGAACUCCUGGCCUCAAGUGAUUUGCCCACCUUGGCCUCCAAAGUACUGAGAUUAUAGUGUUCUCACUUAGCAUUUUAUUCCUUCUACAACAUAAAUGCAAUAAGUAUUUAUUGACUAUUCCUUUCUUGCCUAAGCAUUGUUGUGGGUAAUAGUGAACAAAUAGAUACAACUUCCUGUCUUCGUGAAACUAACACUUUAGUAGGAGGAAACACAAAGGAUAAAUAUAAAAAUGUGUAGUUUCCUUGAAGAUGAUUUCCUCUCUCUUCACUCAUUUGCUCCACAAAUACAUAUAUAUCCAUGCCAAGGUCUAGGCACUCUGCCUCCAUCAGAGGUAAAGAUAUGGAAAGAGAAAUGAUCACAAAACUAGAGUAUGGCAUUACUCAGUGCUUGUGUGAAGUACUGUUAACUGCAGGAAAUCCUUAUACUUUUUGGAACUAAUGUUCUAGAAGUUUUUCUUUUCCACUUCAAUCAAAUGCUUAUUCAGGCUGGGCACGGUGGCUCACGCCUGUAAUCCCAGCACUUUGGGAGGCCGAGGCAGGCGGAUCGCGAGAUCAGGGGAUCAACACCAUCCUGGCCAAAAUGGUGAAACUUCGUCUGUGCUAAAAAUACAAAAAUUAGCUGGGUGUGGUGGUGCGUGCCUGUAAUCCCAGCUACUCAGGAGGCUAAGACAGGAGAACCGCUUAAACCAGGGAGUUAGAGGUUGCAGUGAGCUGAGAUC
rnacentral:lncRNA from 1 species